GGCUGAAGUUAUUUAAGGAGACAGUUACAUCUACACACACACACACACACACACACACACACACACACACACACACACUCAUAGGUGGGCAUCAGCCCAUACAUCUUUGCAUACAUAUGCAUACAUAUAUACACACACAUGUACGUAUGUAUAAAUACAGCAUCGAAAAUGUUGUCAAUCAGAUUGAAGUCUCAGCGUCUUCACGUGAAGAAGCGAAACAGAGUAACAAAGAGAGUGAGAAAUUAGCAGACGAUUUACUUCCAGCACCAUCAGAAGAACUACACAAUAAGGAAAAGACAAGAGCUUCUGAUUCUCUUCACACCAAACCAUUUCUUGUUCUUCUUCAAUCGUAUUUCUUUGUAACCAACACCCAAGAAAACAAUGCAGAGUCAUCAAUACAUCGCCGUUGUUAGUCUGCUGUUGGCUGCAUUUGUGGCACCUGGUUCCUGCCGAUGGUUUUACAACACUCAACUGAACUGCUUCACUGAGUGCAUGACUUGUCUAAUGACUGGACUUGACUGCCAGCCUCACCAACCGUUUCCUUCAGGCUAUGAAGACUGUGAAUUCAGCUGUUUCAUGUCGCCGGACGUUCUUAACGAAACCCUUCCAGCAAUUCAAAGCAGUCUGCACUUCUGCAGGGAUAUUCACAAACGAGAUCUCAACGAUCUUGGUUUGUGUAUCCGUGAACAUAUAGAAAAGUUUUAUCCAGACUUCUACAAGAAAUUACCUUGGCUGCCUCUCUAUGAAACGACGACAUAGGAAGAAUGGAAAAGA
rnacentral:lncRNA from 1 species